rnacentral:rRNA from 1 species
GACGAACGCUGGCGGCGUGCCUAAUACAUGCAAGUAGAACGCACAGUUUAUACCGUAGCUUGCUACACCAUAAACUGUGAGUUGCGAACGGGUGAGUAACGCGUAGGUAACCUGCCUGGUAGCGGGGGAUAACUAUUGGAAACGAUAGCUAAUACCGCAUAAUAUUGAUUAUUGCAUGAUAAUUGAUUGAAAGAUGCUAUUGCAUCACUACCAGAUGGACCUGCGUUGUAUUAGCUAGUAGGUGAGGUAACGGCUCACCUAGGCGACGAUACAUAGCCGACCUGAGAGGGUGAUCCGCCACACUGGGACUGAGACACGGCCCAGACUCCUGCGGGAGGCAGCAGUAGGGAAUCUUCGGCAAUGGACGAAAGUCUGACCGGGCAACGCCGCGUGAGUGAAGAAGGUUUUCGGAUCGUAAAGCUCUGUUGUAAGAGAAGAACGGGUGUGAGAGUGGAAAGUUCACACUGUGACGGUAUCUUACCAGAAAGGGACGGCUAACUACGUG